rnacentral:rRNA from 1 species
CAGCCGCCACGGGAAAACGAAGGGGGCUAGCGUUGUUCGGAAUUACUGGGCGUAAAGCGCGCGUAGGCGGACAUUUAAGUCAGGGGUGAAAUCCCGGGGCUCAACCCCGGAACUGCCUCUGAUACUGGGUGUCUAGAGUUCGGAAGAGGUAAGUGGAAUUGCGAGUGUAGAGGUGAAAUUCGUAGAUAUUCGCAGGAACACCAGUGGCGAAGGCGACUUACUGGUCCGAUACUGACACUGAGGCACGAAAGCGUGGGUAGCAAACAGGAUUAGAUACCCGCGUAGUCCCUGUCUCUUAUAC